rnacentral:lncRNA from 1 species
GAGAUGCUCCUCUAGGCUGCAGCGUGCUUUGUCAUUUGUUCUUCCGCCAGCGCCCAUCGUGAAGACCACAGUUUCCUGUCGCGUGGAUGUGUUUCCUCUCUCUGGCCAUUGCCAUCCGCCCAAAUCUACAGACAUCCCGCAUGUUCCCGGGCUCGUCUCCCCAAUACAGGGCACCUAGGCUGUAGACUGCGCAGCCCUCCUGGAGACAGAUGGAAGCUCCUUGGGUCGACAGAUUACAGCUUCUGGAACCCCCUACUCCCUUCAACUCCGAGAUGGACACCCACUGUCCAGGGAGAGGAUGCCUGGAAAUAACAGCUGGGAUCUACAGUGGCCAAAGAGUUGUCUCCGUCUUGCUACAUCUACAAACUGGUGCUCCUGAGUGAGGAUUGUGCCCUGGGAUGGGGGAUUCAGUUUCUUCAUUUAUAGUUGGAAGUGUGAAGUGCCAGGAGCGACGGUACACUCCAGAGUGUUGUGCCCUGAUGGGCCUUUGAGCGGCCAGUGCAGUGGAUCAUCAGCCCUGUCUCCCAAGAGCUCCAAUCUCUUCUCUGGAGAGGAAGGGAGUCCACUGGCAGCUCAGGAGGCCAUAGCAGGAUUGUCACGUGUGCUCAACAGUCCUCCUCGGCUUUCCAGAAGAGGCUGGAACAGGGCCCUUGAAGAUGUUUGUGGACAUCAGAGGGCCAAAGACGACACAAAGUGAAACUGGAGACACCGCCCCCCCCCCCCUGGCAUCAUGAAACUGCCGAUGUUACUGGCUCAUGCAAAGGCUGUGUUCUGUCCCUGUGACCAUCAGCCAGUGCCUGGAAAGACUGGUGACAAGAACUUGUUGCCAACUUCCUAUUACCUCCCUAACAGUUGUGCAAUAAACCCCAUAGGUUAAUUCAGUCUGCCUUUUAAA